CGAAGCUGCCGCAGGUUCGAGUUGAGCGCAGCGAAACAACGGAGCCGCUCGCGGCGACGGCCCGAAGGGCGAGCGAAGCGAGUCAUCCUGCACGACCCACCA
rnacentral:sRNA from 1 species